UUUACUCGGAGUCUUCGGACAAAGAGAUAGUGCGCCUAAGGGCUUCCAAGAAAAACCUCUAAACUUCAGGUAAUUAGUACCAGUACCGUAAACCGACACAGGUAGUUGAGGAGAGAAUCCUAAGGUGCUCGAGAGAUUCAUGGCUAAGGAAUUAGGCAAAAUAGACCUGUAACUUCGGGAGAAAGGUCGCCAGCGCAAGCUGGCCGCAGUGAAGAGGUCCAGGCGACUGUUUAUCAAAAACACAGGGCUCUGCAAAAUCGUAAGAUGAAGUAUAGGGCCUGACACCUGCCCGGUGCUGGAAGGUUAAGAGGAGAUGUUAUCUUCGGAGAAGCAUUGAAUUGAAGCCCCAGUAAACGGCGGCCGUAACAAUAACGGUCCUAAGGUAGCGAAAUUCCUUGUCGGGUAAGUUCCGACCUGCACGAAUGGUGUAACGAUCUGGACACUGUCUCAGCCAUGAGCUCGGUGAAAUUGUAGUAACGGUGAAGAUGCCGUUUACCCGCAGUGGGACGAAAAGACCCUGUGCACCUUUACUAUAGCUUAGUAUUGACCUUGGAUAAAUGAUGUGUAGGAUAGGUUGGAGACUGUGAAGUGGCGUCGCCAGGCGUUGUGGAGUCAUUGUUGAAAUACAACCCUUUGUUUAUCUGAGGCCUAACCCCGUUUUGCGGGGGACAUUGCUUGGUGGGUAGUUUGACUGGGGUGGUCGCCUCCAAAAGAGUAACGGAGGCUUCUAAAGGUUCCCUCAGUACGCUUGGUAACCGUGCGUAGAGUGCAAUGGCAUAAGGGAGCUUGACUGAGAGACAUACAGGUCGAUCAGGUACGAAAGUAGAGCAUAGUGAUCCGGUGGUUCCGCAUGGAAGGGCCAUCGCUCAAAGGAUAAAAGGUACGCCGGGGAUAACAGGCUGAUCUCCCCCAAGAGCUCAUAUCGACGGGGGGGUUUGGCACCUCGAUGUCGGCUCGUCACAUCCUGAGGCUGGAGAAGGUCCCAAGGGUUGGGCUGUUCGCCCAUUAAAGUGGCACGCGAGCUGGGUUCAGAACGUCGUGAGACAGUUCGGUCUCUAUCUACUGUGGGCGUUAGAAAUUUGAGUGGAUCUGAUUCUAGUACGAGAGGACCGAAUUGGACAAACCUCUAGUGUAUCUGUUGUCCCGCCAGGGGCACCGCAGAGUAGCUACGUUUGGAAGGGAUAAGCGCUGAAAGCAUAUAAGCGCGAAACCCACCACAAGAUGAGAUUUCUUUUAAGGAUCGUGGAAGAUGACCACGUUGAUAGGCUAUAGAUGUAAAGGCAGUAAUGUCAUAGUCGAGUAGUACUAAUAAUCUG
rnacentral:rRNA from 1 species